ACCAAAGACAUUUGUAUAGCGCUCAGAGAGAAGCUGCUGAAAGACUCUGGGGUGCCCACGGAGCAGGACUACGACAAGAUUGUCUUCAAGCUGCUGGAGAAAGAGUUUGCCAGAGGUGUUAUAGUAUUCGCCUCUGACCAGGAAGUGGCUGGGCUGAUGAGGGCAGUCAGAAGGAACGACGCCACUGGAAAGUUUGCUUGGAUCGGUUCUGACGGUUGGGGCGCUAGAGGCCUGGCUUUUAAAGGCAACGAACCAGAGCUGGAAGGGGCGGUCACUGUUCAGCCAAUCGCAGAAGAGGUGAAAGGGUUUAAAGAGUACUUCCUGAACCUGACACCAACAAACAACAAACGAAA
rnacentral:sRNA from 1 species